CCACCAACACUAACUCCAACUACAGCCACAACGACUCUUCCUCCUCCUAUAACUACUGCAUCUGAUCCAGAACAAUAUUACGUUAUUGCUUUAAAUGCAAAGUUCUCGACAACACUGUCACUGGAGGAUGACUAUGCAACCAUCAUACAACUGCUAAAACAAGAACUGAUUAACAACGGGCUGCCACCUGACCUAAUCUUAAGUAUCCAGAGUAACGUGACGCCUGCCUCCCGGUGACCAAACAUCAGAAUGUAACGUAGCCCUGCACAAGGUUUUUCCUGACAUUCUUAUUUACUGUACUUUUUCCUCUCCAAUGUGAAUAUUGUUGGGCAUAUGUUCUUAGUAGGGUCUAUAGGUUGGAGCUAUUGGUAAAAAGAAAUUUCAAAAAAGAAAUUAUGUAAAAUGUAAAUCAGUAGAAGUGCAUAAACCAAAAAAGGUUCACUCAUGUCUUGAGCUUGCUUUAUAUAUAGAUCAAAUGUAUGUAUAGUGUGGAUAACUUUAUUUUAUCUCUGGCUGUUUGAUCAUUAAUGUAAAAUAACUUGUGGAUCCCCUGAUGCCUUGUUAAAGGUUCUGUCCUGUCUCUAAAUAGAAACACAGUAGUUUGAAAGCUUUUUUUGUCAUCUGGCAUUGUUUUCUGUAACUUUUCUAACCUGGAAAAUGUAUACUAUUUCUAUAGAAUUCUUCUCCCUUGAUGUACAAAAGUCAAAGGCAGCUACUUUAUCUUUAUCUUGAUAUACGCUUUUGCAAGUAAGAAAUUAAAGGUCU